GUAAAAUCCGAGAAUGAGACAGUUCUAUUCACUCCUUUGGGAUAAAAGGUGUUCGUAUCUAACUCAGAGAGGAAAUUAAGAUUCUGAUUCACGAUGGGCUCAGGUAGGAGAGCUGGCUAGACAGGUUAGCCUUUGCCUCACAAACCUGAGGUGAUGGCUAUUCUUGGAUGUCAACUUGACUACAUCUGGAAUUAACUAAAAUCCCAAACCACUGGGCACUCCUGUGGGGGAUUUUUAGUUAACUAGAUCAUUUAAGGUAGGAAGACAUACCUUAUAUCCAGACCACUUGAGGACCCACCUUUAAUUUGGGCCAUACCACCUAGUGGUGUCCUAAAGGUCAAGGAGGAACAAAGCAUUUGCUCUUUGCCUGUUUGCCCUCCCUCCUGCUCCACUGGCAUUAAAGCCUUGGGGGUGUGGGUGGGGGAAGGCUAUUCUGACAUACUGAAGACCAUCUGGGACAUCUGGCCUCCCUGACUGAACAAUAGUGCAUUCUUGAACUUUCCAUUAGGAGACAGCCAUUGUUGAACUAGAUGGACCACAGCGUGUAAGCCUUUCUAAUAAAUCCCAUACAUAAGUUCUAUCAGUUCUGCUCUCUAGAGAAAGAACCCUACUAACACAUAUAAGGACCUGCUUGGAUCCCUAAAACCUGUGUGGAAAGCCAGCUGUGGCUCCACGACUGUAAUCUUAGCUGGGGGCACCGGGGAGAACAGAAGGAAACUGACAUCAGAAGUCAGUUCAUACUAUCUCUGGGGAAUACAGGAAACACACAGAGCACUCUAGUAUCUUCAGAAUGAGUUGAGAAGACAACAGACCACAAAGCAAAAAGAUAUGAACAAACAACCACCACUUCAGCCAAGAUGGCUGACAAGAGGUAGUCUGUGAGCAACUUGGCAACAAGGAAGCACCUGAGACCUGGAAAGGGGUCAUCUGAGCCCCUCAGCUCUACAUAUCUGAAAGUAUUACCCUUGCUGAGUUCUUUGACUUCCAGAGAGGGGAAGAGAAGAUAUCGAAUAUUAAUGGAGUAUUCAGCCAACUGUGAUCCGUGGUGAGGGACACUGUAGAAAAUUAUCCCUCUGGUAUUGUUUAUAAGAGCGCUCAGUUCUGGCUUCUGAGAGGCUUCCAACAGCAUCUUCUUGACAAGAAGACCUAGCCACAAAGGAGAGAGAGGAGAGUGAGUUGUUCCCUUCCUCUUUACUCCUCCUUAAACAUCUCACUGCCUCUGUGAAGUAGGUGUUAGUCACUGCCACCCACACCCAGAGUCACGGGUCCCACCGAGGAAGGUCAGCUGCUAUGACCAAGAGCACCUAACCAUGUUCCCCAGUCAGAAAUGUUUUUAAGAUGUGAAGAAAAAAUGACUUGAUUUCCUUCAGAUGCCUCCAAAUAGACCCCAACGUUUACAUCAGCCAAAAGCUAAAAUGUCACCAGGUGAUGGUGACACCUACUUCAGGAAUUUCCCAGUUUUGCUGUCUCCCAUCUUGCUCCCACCAGAAUAUCCGAGGCCUUUUUAAAAGGAAUCUUCUGCAAGGGGCCCCUGAUCCUAAUGAGAGCUAGACAGCGAGCAUCAGUGGCCUUGGGACUGGAUUUGUCAGGUUCUCCCGUGAUGUGGUGAUUUCUCACCCUGCCUCCCCAGCACAAGGCACUGGGCCUCCUGCCAGGACCCUGCUUCCUUCUCAUCUUGCCUCACUCCCACCUGAAGAAUGGAAUAGAGCUCCCCGAGAAAUGAGUUUCUGGGGCAGGCACCCCAAGCUGAUGGUCAGGGGAGCAGGGCUCUGACAGCCCUUCAUUCCCCCCAAACUUGGAAAUGGGGUCAGAGGGAGGGGCCUGCCACUGUCUCCCCUCAGUCUCUUUAUGCACCACUUCCUGCAGUCAGACUGAAGGAGCUGGGAGAGAUGGAGGAGCCCACUGCUACUUCUAAUUUCCUGCAAAAAAAAAUUGUACCCAGGGGGCUGGAGAGAUGGCUCAGUGGUUAAGAGCACCGACUGCUCUUC